AAAUUGAAGAGUUUGAUCAUGGCUCAGAUUGAACGCUGGCGGCAGGCCUAACACAUGCAAGUCGAACGGUAACAGGAAGCAGCUUGCUGCUUCGCUGACGAGUGGCGGACGGGUGAGUAAUGUCUGGGAAACUGCCUGAUGGAGGGGGAUAACUACUGGAAACGGUGGCUAAUACCGCAUAACGUCGCAAGACCAAAGAGGGGGACCUUCGGGCCUCUUGCCAUCAGAUGUGCCCAGAUGGGAUUAGCUAGUUGGUGAGGUAACGGCUCACCAAGGCGACGAUCCCUAGCUGGUCUGAGAGGAUGACCAGCCACACUGGAACUGAGACACGGUCCAGACUCCUACGGGAGGCAGCAGUGGGGAAUAUUGCACAAUGGGCGCAAGCCUGAUGCAGCCAUGCCGCGUGUAUGAAGAAGGCCUUCGGGUUGUAAAGUACUUUCAGCGGGGAGGAAGGUGUUGCGGUUAAUAACCGCAGCAAUUGACGUUACCCGCAGAAGAAGCACCGGCUAACUCCGUGCCAGCAGCCGCGGUAAUACGGAGGGUGCAAGCGUUAAUCGGAAUUACUGGGCGUAAAGCGCACGCAGGCGGUCUGUCAAGUCGGAUGUGAAAUCCCCGGGCUCAACCUGGGAACUGCAUUCGAAACUGGCAGGCUUGAGUCUUGUAGAGGGGGGUAGAAUUCCAGGUGUAGCGGUGAAAUGCGUAGAGAUCUGGAGGAAUACCGGUGGCGAAGGCGGCCCCCUGGACAAAGACUGACGCUCAGGUGCGAAAGCGUGGGGAGCAAACAGGAUUAGAUACCCUGGUAGUCCACGCCGUAAACGAUGUCUACUUGGAGGUUGUGCCCUUGAGGCGUGGCUUCCGGAGCUAACGCGUUAAGUAGACCGCCUGGGGAGUACGGCCGCAAGGUUAAAACUCAAAUGAAUUGACGGGGGCCCGCACAAGCGGUGGAGCAUGUGGUUUAAUUCGAUGCAACGCGAAGAACCUUACCUGGUCUUGACAUCCACGGAAGUUUUCAGAGAUGAGAAUGUGCCUUCGGGAACCGUGAGACAGGUGCUGCAUGGCUGUCGUCAGCUCGUGUUGUGAAAUGUUGGGUUAAGUCCCGCAACGAGCGCAACCCUUAUCCUUUGUUGCCAGCGGUUAGGCCGGGAACUCAAAGGAGACUGCCAGUGAUAAACUGGAGGAAGGUGGGGAUGACGUCAAGUCAUCAUGGCCCUUACGACCAGGGCUACACACGUGCUACAAUGGCGCAUACAAAGAGAAGCGACCUCGCGAGAGCAAGCGGACCUCAUAAAGUGCGUCGUAGUCCGGAUUGGAGUCUGCAACUCGACUCCAUGAAGUCGGAAUCGCUAGUAAUCGUGGAUCAGAAUGCCACGGUGAAUACGUUCCCGGGCCUUGUACACACCGCCCGUCACACCAUGGGAGUGGGUUGCAAAAGAAGUAGGUAGCUUAACCUUCGGGAGGGCGCUUACCACUUUGUGAUUCAUGACUGGGGUGAAGUCGUAACAAGGUAACCGUAGGGGAACCUGCGGUUGGAUCACCUCCUUACCUGAAAGAAGC
rnacentral:rRNA from 1 species